ACGAACGCUGGCGGCAUGCCUAACACAUGCAAGUCGAACGAUGCUUUCGGGCAUAGUGGCGCACGGGUGCGUAACGCGUGGGAAUCUGCCUUUCGGUACGGAAUAACUCAGGGAAACUUGUGCUAAUACCGUAUGAUGUCGCGAGACCAAAGAUUUAUCGCCGAAAGAUGAGCCCGCGUAGGAUUAGCUAGUUGGUGGGGUAAAGGCCUACCAAGGCGACGAUCCUUAGCUGGUCUGAGAGGAUGAUCAGCCACACUGGGACUGAGACACGGCCCAGACUCCUACGGGAGGCAGCAGUGGGGAAUAUUGGACAAUGGGCGAAAGCCUGAUCCAGCAAUGCCGCGUGAGUGAUGAAGGCCUUAGGGUUGUAAAGCUCUUUUACCCGGGAAGAUAAUGACUGUACCGGGAGAAUAAGCCCCGGCUAACUCCGU
rnacentral:rRNA from 1 species